UACAGAGGUGGCAAGCGUUUGUUCGGAAUUACUGGGCGUAAAGGGCGCGUAGGCGGCCUUCUAAGUCAGACGUGAAAUCCCCCGGCUUAACCUGGGAACUGCGUCUGAUACUGGAGGGCUUGAGUAUGGGAGAGGGAUGUAGAAUUCCAGGUGUAGCGGUGAAAUGCGUAGAUAUCUGGAGGAAUACCGGUGGCGAAGGCGGCAUCCUGGACCAUUACUGACGCUGAGGCGCGAAAGCUAGGGGAGCAAACGGG
rnacentral:rRNA from 1 species